rnacentral:rRNA from 1 species
UACGAAGGGGGCUAGCGUUGUUCGGAAUUACUGGGCGUAAAGCGCACGUAGGCGGCUAUUCAAGUCAGAGGUGAAAGCCCAGGGCUCAACCUUGGAACUGCCUUUGAAACUAGAUAGCUAGAAUCCUGGAGAGGCGAGUGGAAUUCCGAGUGUAGAGGUGAAAUUCGUAGAUAUUCGGAAGAACACCAGUGGCGAAGGCGACUCGCUGGACAGGUAUUGACGCUGAGGUGCGAAAGCGUGGGGAGCAAACAGG